GUGGGAAGAGAGAUUUAAGAGAAAUCUUCGGUUUGAGAGAGAAGAGAGGGAGAGCUUUUGGUUCGGUGGGAGGAAGAAGAAGAAGGGCUGAGUCAGCUCAAAGAAAAUUUUCUAAUAAAAAGAGAACGCCCGAAGGGUUUUGACAGAAUUACAAGUUUACCCUAGGAUCGAUCCUAGGGGUCGACUCAUGGCACAGAAAAAUUCAUAAGAAUGAUGAAAAAAUUUGAAAAAAUCUAAAACUUUGAGGAAAAAGUGUCUACCUAGAGAUUGAUCAUGUAAAGUACAGUUUUAAGCUUUUAAGAGAAAAGAAGAGAUGAGA
rnacentral:lncRNA from 1 species